rnacentral:lncRNA from 1 species
AUAUAUAUAUAUAUUCGGAUAUGGGUUCGGGUAUUAUUCAUACUCAUAGGUUCGGAUCGGAUUCGGGUAGAAAAUAGCACUACCCAUAUCCUACCCAUACCCGUACUAUAGUUUUUGGGUUUUACCCAAACCCAAAUUCAAAUCCAGUCAAACCCUAUUUUUCGGGUUUAACCGGGUUCGGGUAGGGUGUAUCCCCAUC